rnacentral:rRNA from 1 species
GACGAACCGUGCGAACGUUGUUCGGAAUCACUGGGCUUAAAGGGUGCGCAGGCGGUCGGGCGUGUCAGAUGUGAAAUCCCGAGGCUCAACCUCGGAACUGCGUCUGAAACUACUCGACUAGAGUACUGGAGAGGGUAACGGAAUUCACGGUGUAGCAGUGAAAUGCGUAGAUAUCGUGAGGAACACCAGAGGCGAAGGCGGUUACCUGGACAGUUACUGACGCUCAGGCACGAAAGCAUGGGGAGCAAAAGGG